rnacentral:rRNA from 1 species
GGGUCGCGGGGGCGUAGCAUACCAUGCAGUCGAGCGAUAGAUAGCCCAAGCUUGCUGGGCGGAUUAGUGGCGAACGGGUGAGUAACGCCUGAGUAUCCUGCCCUUGACUUCGGGAUAACUCCGGGAAACCGGGGCUAUUACCGGAUAUGACCCGGCCUCACAUGGGGGUGGUUGGAAACCUUUUCCUAUCGGGAUGGGCUCGCGGCCAAUCACUUUGUUGUGGGGGUGAUGGCCUACCGGGCGAAUACGGGUCUGGUCUCUGAGAGGGAUACCGGCCACUGUGGGAGUGACACACGGCCCACACUCCUACGGGAGGCAACAGGGGGGAAUAUUGCACUGGGGCGAAAGCCUGAUGCAGCGACCCCCGUUGAGGGAUGAAGCCUUUGUUGUGUAAACCUCUUUCUAGGGAAGAAGCGCAAGUGCGGUACCUUGCCUAAUAAGCGCCGGCUAAUUACGUGCCAGCAGCCGCGGUUCUACGUAGGGCGCAAGCGUUUCCGGAAUUAUUGGGCGUAAAGAGCUCGUAGGCGGUUUGUCGCGUCUGGUGUGAAAACUCGAGGCUCAACCUCGAUCUUGCAUCGGGUACGGGCAGACUAGAGUGCGGUAGGGGAGACUGGAAUUCUUGGUGUAGCGGUGGAAUGCGCAGAUAUCAGGAGGAACACCGAUGGCGAAGGCAGGUCUCUGGGCCGCAACUGACGCUGAGGAGCGAAAGCAUGGGGAGCGAACAGAUUAGAUACCCUGGUAGUCCAUGCCGUAAACGUUGGGCACUAGGUGUGGGGAUCAUUCCACGAGUUCCGUGCCGCAGCAAACGCAUUAAGUGCCCCGCCUGGGGAUACGGCCGCAAGGAUAAAACUCAAAGGAAUUGACGGGGGCCCGCACAAGCGGCGGAGCAUGCGGAUUAUUCAUGCACGCGAAGAACCUCACCAAGGCUUGACAUCCACGAGAACCACCAAGAUGGUGGUUUCUUUGGUCACUCGUGCACAGGUGGUGCAUGGUUGUCGUCAGUUCGUGUGGUGAGAUGUUGGGUUAAGUCCCGCAACGAGCGCAACCCUCCUCCCAUGUUACCAGCGGGUUAUUCCGGGGAGUCAUGGGAGACGGCCGGGGUCAACUCGGAGGAAGGAGGGGAGGACGUCAAAUCAUCAUCCCCCUCAUGUCUUGGGCUUCACCCCUGCUACAACAACCGGUACAAAAGAGGGUGAUCCAGUAAGGUGGAGGGAAUCCCAAAAAAACGGUCUCAGUUCUGAUUGGGGCAGCAACUCGACCCCAUGAAGAAGGAGUCGUUAGUAAUCGCAGAUCAUCAGAAUUUCGGUGAAUACGUUCCCGGGCCCUGUACACACCCCCCGUCUAGUCACCAAAGUCGGGGCGCUCCAAACGCAUGUCGUCUACCGUCUACGGGGAGUGUCCACGUCUAUACCAA